UGGGGAAUUUUGGGCAAUGGGCGAAAGCCUGACCCAGCAACGCCGCGUGCAGGAUGAAGGCCCUCGGGUCGUAAACUGCUGUCGGGAGGGAAGAAAAGCAGCGGGAGGAAAUGACCGCUGCCUGACGGUACCUCCAAAGGAAGCGCCGGCUAACUCCGUGCCAGCAGCCGCGGUAAUACGGAGGGCGCAAGCGUUGUUCGGAAUUACUGGGCGUAAAGCGCGUGUAGGCGGUCUGGCAAGUCGGUUGUGAAAUCCCCGGGCUCAACCCGGGAACUGCAUCCGAAACUUCCAGGCUAGAGUUUCGGAGAGGAAGGCAGAAUUCCCAAUGUAGGGGUGAAAUCCGUAGAUAUUGGGAGGAAUACCAGUGGCGAAGGCGGCCUUCUGGACGAUGACUGACGCUGAGACGCGAAAGCGUGGGGAGCAAACAGGAUUAGAUACCCGGGUAGUCCCUGAGCGGGCUGGCAAGGCGCAU
rnacentral:rRNA from 1 species